rnacentral:lncRNA from 1 species
UUAAAUCCUACUUUAAUUCAUGUUCAAUUUAUACAUAUAGGGAGAGAAUCGGAAAUAAAUUGCCAGAAAGAGAACAAUGGAAAGGACUAGGUUCCUAGCCAAGCCAGGGAAUCUACGACCGAUUGUCAAAAAAUCUCUCGCUACGGGGUAAGAAGCAAGGAAGGAGUGCCACUUUCAAGAAUUCUUUUUUAGUUCAAUCACCCGCCGAAGCGAUUUCCUAUCGGUCUUGACCUUCUCAGAGACUUGCCAAGAUAGCGAUCUGCUCUUAUAUUAUAGAUAUUAUAAGACGAUAUUAGAAAAAAGAACCCCUCUCUCUUUCCUUUAUGUGCGCUCUCUCUUCAGUCAUGUGCUUAAAUAAUUAGGAGACGAAGGGAUUUGCAACUUUGGUGAUGCUUUGUUUUUAUGGAAGAUGAUGAAGAAGGUGGAAGGAUUGCGGAUUUGGUGCGGCGUCGGUUUACAUAAUCGAAGCUUUCUCUACACGUAAAUUUCAUGAUCAUUCAGUUUUCUUUUUCCAAUUUUGUAUUAUUCUCUUUGAUCCCGAUGAUUGUGUUUAGUCAGUGAUGUUAAUCUCUGCUUCACCGAUUGAUUGUACUGUUGUAUGUUAAUCACAAUUCAAGGUUGAUGGGAUACUGGAUUCGUUUCUGCACAACACAUUGAGACUGGUCAAAAGAGUUAAAUUGGGGAAGAACUUUUAGCAUCUACCCAUCAAAGACCAUUGUUACUAUAUACAUUUGAAUGUUAUUAUAUAUUUUGUUAGAAAAUUUUGGAUUUACACUAUCUAUAUAUCUAUACUUGUGCUCCAAAUACACAUAAAACAAAACUUUUCAAAUGUUCUGGUGCAAUUCUACCACUUAUGACAGAAUUUCAGAUUGAUGCGGAUCAACGUGACAACCAAAUCAUUGUUGGCAAACCAUCUGGCUGAAUCAAUGACAUGAUCCAUGAUAAUAAGAGCUUUUCAUCAAGAGGAACGAUUAUUUGCCAAAAAUCGUGACAUAUUUUGGCUUCGAUGAUUCUAAAAGGCGUUGGCAGCAUUUUAUUUGUAUGUGGCAGCACCACCAGUGCCUAUUUGCUGAUGCCAUUUAAUAAAUUCCAAUACGCUGUCUGCUGGAACUUAUUCCGAUUAAAUUAGUGUUUACGAAGCGGCACACAAAAUGCUAAUUCAUAUGUGUAGCAUUGAAGUUUGAUCAAAUCUUAAUCUUCAUCUGCAGAUAUAUUACUUGCUACUUAUGAGUCCAUUGCUACGUGACUUCUAUGACUAUGACAUGAAUGAUCCAAAGUUUCAUCCUUGUUUUUAAGAUUUCGUGCAAGUUGCUU